AACCUGCCCAAGAGAUCGGGAUAACACCUGGAAACAGAUGCUAAUACCGGAUAACAACAGAUGAUGCCUAUCAACUGUUUAAAAGAUGGUUCUGCUAUCACUCUUGGAUGGACCUGCGGUGCAUUAGCUAGUUGGUAGGGUAACGGCCUACCAAGGCGAUGAUGCAUAGCCGAGUUGAGAGACUGAUCGGCCACAUUGGGGCUGAGACACGGCCCAAACUCCUACGGGAGGCAGCAGUC
rnacentral:rRNA from 1 species